UAUCUCCGGCUUGAGAAAUGAC
rnacentral:misc_RNA from 1 species